GCAUCAGCAGCACAUGCUGCUGUUUUCUUAGCAUCAAACACAGCCCUCUAAACGCAAACUGCCACACUGCUUCUGCCAGGAUGAAGGGCACGGUUAUUUAUUUAGGUAAUGAGAACAGUAAAGAGUUCUAUUCUAAAUAAAAUUAGCAUUAAAAAAAUCUUUUUCCAUCUACCCACUGUCUUGCUGAGUAUUUUGGAAUCAGUAGGACAAUUUCAGCUGUUGAAUUUUCACCUUAAUAAGGGUUGUCAUCUUUGAAGAUUUUCUGAAGAGUUAAUAAUGAGGUAUCUCUUUUAAAAUGAAAAUGCCUCCAAAUCCCUUUUUCCUUUGGGUACCAAAGCAUGUCUUGAGCUAAUUAUUGUCAGAAGUUUUAUCUCUGAAAUGAUAACUUCUUUAUCUUAAGUGCUUUCUGAUGAACAUGAAGAAAAUGAUAUUUCAUGCAAUGGUUUGUACCUCUGUCUGUAACUGAUGUAGCAGCUGAAUCUGGAGUCUUAGGAGGGAUUAAAUGCUAUAAACAUAGAGCAGUGCCUGUCACUGCAUGAACUGGAAGAACCAAAGUCCAGGUGAUACUGUUCUUACUUUAGUAAGUGAACAAUACACUGAGGACAGUAGCCCCCUUUCACCAAUCUCCUCCUUUACACAUAAGUACCAUAUCCACACUCAGCACCUCUCCUUAUGUUACUGAUUGAAUUGUCUGCAAUAUUUGGCCUCACUUUUUUCAAUACAUACAGUUAUGUUGCCAGAGUAUCAUUCUGUUCUUGAAAAUGGAUUGCAUUGUAUUAUAAAAGGGUAACAUAAAAACCAAAUCAGAAGUCUAAAAAAUGAUUGUAAAUACACAUUUUGAACUGAUACCGAAAAAUGGAUGAAAGCCAGUCACUCCCUAAAAGCUGAUCAACAUUUAGGUGAAUAUCUCCCAAUAUUUCUUAUUUUACUCACAGUUAUAUUACAGCUUUCUUACAUUUAGCGUGUUGGAUUUUAUGUUCUUCCUCCAUGCCAUUUUGUUAGGAUUUCAUCCUGAGUGUUGCAUGGUUCAGUCAUAAACACACAGACCUGAAGUGAGGGUCUGCUGAUUCCUGAUCUUUGCCACUGGCUUUCCAGUUUGACCCUGGCAUCUUGUGUACCCCAGUUUAUGUGAAAUGAAUUACAAGCAGCCUUACCUGUGCUAAAACGUAUUCUGGGGAUGCACUCAUGCUUGCAGAGCACUAGGAGUUCCCUGAUUUCAAAUGAUUUAGAGGAGAAAGUGUUUUUCAUAGCUAUUUUUAUUGUAAGGCAGGAAGGGCAGCAGUUUUAUUCACUAUUUUGCAUGAAACUUCUUGUCUGUAAGAGUUUUCUAAUUGAUUUUUCACAACGUGGACCAAAGACAUAUUUUUAGCCAUUAAAACACCAGUCAUGAUGUUUAGAAUUUGUCCUUGAGCCCUGUGACAACCAUCUGAAGCACAGCCACUAUUAUUUAUUGCAUGCAUUUCUAAAAUAGCUCAGUUUCUUUCCAGCUUGCUGCUAUCUACAGUUAGUAAUUAUUAACUCAGAGAAAAACACCUUCAGCAUCUCCAGGUUUAGAAGCACAGCAGAACCUUGCUAAAUGUCUUACUAGAUAAAUCAGCCAUUGAAUCUCUGGUGCCAGUGUUUCUGGCAAAAUCUCUUGGGACGAUGGCUUCAGAAGUCCAUGAAUCAAGGGAAGGCACCUGCUUACAAGAAUAACAUUUCUUCUAUUUUGCCUUUGUGAGAAUCCAGCUUUCUUACUUGACAGAAAGCAAGUAGCUAACACUCAUUGCAACCGAACUGUUUGGCUUUCACAGUGGUUUCCAGAAAGAUUCAGUGGUAAGGAAGGACCAUGGAGACAGUGGCAGCCUGUCCUCCAGCUGCUGUUGAGGUGAACCAACCAAUGCCGUUUGAAGGAAUAGUCAAGAGCAACCUGUAUAAAUUCUAUCUCCAACAGGCUGAGGUUGCUAUUUAAGAAUCAUGGAAUUGGCCACUUACAUUCUCCAGAUGAUUCCCAGUGCCUAAAGAAAAGGGAAAGGGAACAAGUACAAAAAAGAAAAAAAAUCCCUUAUAAGACAAAACAUUUCUGUUGUGACAUUUCAUGAUUUUUCCAGCCAUGAUUCUGAGUAUAUGGUGUUACUGUACUUAAUGUUCCUGCGGAGGCUGAGACAUUCAGUUAAUUAUUGAGCUAUGCUGGUUAGGUUGGUCACAUAAAUUUAGAUAAGGUCAGCUCUUCUCGGAGCACAUGUUACUGCCACGUGC
ensembl:lncRNA